rnacentral:rRNA from 1 species
CCUACGGGAGGCAGCAGUGGGGAAUAUUGGGCAAUGGAGGAAACUCUGACCCAGCGACGCCGCGUGCGGGAUGAAGGCCUUCGGGUUGUAAACCGCUUUCAGUAGGGAAGAAGCGAAAGUGACGGUACCUACAAAAGAAGCACCGGCUAACUAUGUGCCAGCAGCCGCGGUAAUACAUAGGGUGCAAGCGUUGUCCGGAAUUAUUGGGCGUAAAGAGCUCGUAGGUCGUUUGUUACGUCGGAUGUGAAAACCUGAGGCUCAACCUCAGGCCUGCAUUCGAUACGGGCAAACUAGAGUUUGGUAGGGGAGACUGGAAUUCCUGGUGUAGCGGUGGAAUGCGCAGAUAUCAGGAGGAACACCAAUGGCGAAGGCAGGUCUCUGGGCCAAUACUGACACUGAGGAGCGAAAGUCUGGGGAGCGAACAGGAUUAGAUACCCUGGUAGUCCAGACCGUAAACGGUGGGCACUAGUUGUGGGAACCUUCCACGGUUUCUGCGACGCAGCUAACGCAUUGAGUGCCCCGCCUGGGGAGUACGAUCGCAAGAUUAAAACUCAAAUGAAUUGACGG